rnacentral:rRNA from 1 species
AAUGAACGCUGGCGGCAGGCCUAACACAUGCAAGUCGAACGGAUCCUUCGGGAUUAGUGGCGGACGGGUGAGUAACGCGUGGGAACAUACCCAAAGGUACGGAAUAGCCUCGGGAAACUGGGAGUAAUACCGUAUGUGCUCGAAAGAGGAAAGAUUUAUCGCCUUUGGAUUGGCCCGCGUUGGAUUAGGUAGUUGGUGGGGUAAUGGCCUACCAAGCCGACGAUCCAUAGCUGGUUUGAGAGGAUGAUCAGCCACACUGGGACUGAGACACGGCCCAGAGCCCUACGGGGGGCAGCGGUGGGGAAUCUUAGACAAGGGGGGAACCCUUGAUCUAGCCAUGCCGGGUGAUGGAUGAAGGCCUUAGGGUUGUAAAGAUCUUCCAGGUGGAAAGAUAAUGACUGUACCACCAGAAGAAGCCCCGGCUAACUCCGUGCCAGCCGCCGCUGUAA